UGGGGAAUAUUGCACAAUGGGCGCAAGCCUGAUGCAGCCAUGCCGCGUGUAUGAAGAAGGCCUUCGGGUUGUAAAGUACUUUCAGCAGUGAGGAAGGUGGGUAUGUUAAUAGCAUAUUCAUUUGACGUUAGCUGCAGAAGAAGCACCGGCUAACUCCGUGCCAGCAGCCGCGGUAAUACGGAGGGUGCGAGCGUUAAUCGGAAUUACUGGGCGUAAAGCGCAUGCAGGUGGUUUGUUAAGUCAGAUGUGAAAGCCCGGGGCUCAACCUCGGAAUUGCAUUUGAAACUGGCAAACUAGAGUACUGUAGAGGGGGGUAGAAUUUCAGGUGUAGCGGUGAAAUGCGUAGAGAUCUGAAGGAAUACCGGUGGCGAAGGCGGCCCCCUGGACAGAUACUGACACUCAGAUGCGAAAGCGUGGGGAGCAAACAGG
rnacentral:rRNA from 1 species